UACGUAGGUGGCAAGCGUUGUCCGGAUUUACUGGGCGUAAAGAGCGCGCAGGCGGUCGGAUAAGUCGAAUGUGAAAGCCCCCGGCUCAACUGGGGAGGGUCAUUCGAUACUGUUCGACUCGAAGGCAGGAGAGGGAAGUGGAAUUCCCGGUGUAGUGGUGAAAUGCGUAGAGAUCGGCAGGAACACCCAGGGGGAAACCAGUCGACUGGGCAGCACCUGACGCUGAGGUGCGAGAGCGUGGGGAGCGAACGGG
rnacentral:rRNA from 1 species